GACGAACUGUCCUAACGUUGUUCGGAAUCACUGGGCGUAAAGGGUGCGUAGGCGGGUCUUUAAGUCAGGGGUGAAAUCCUGGAGCUCAACUCCAGAACUGCCUUUGAUACUGAGGAUCUUGAGUCCGGGAGAGGUGAGUGGAACUGCGAGUGUAGAGGUGAAAUUCGUAGAUAUUCGCAAGAACACCAGUGGCGAAGGCGGCUCACUGGCCCGGUACUGACGCUGAGGCACGAAGGUCAGGGGAGCAAACGGG
rnacentral:rRNA from 1 species